rnacentral:rRNA from 1 species
UUAAGUACGGAAGUUCCUGAUUUCACGCUGUCAAGAAAAGCCUCUAGGAAGAGUAGUACUGCCCGUACCGCAAACCGACACAGGUAGAUGAGGAGAGAAUCCUAAGGUGAGCGAGAGAACUCUCGUUAAGGAACUCGGCAAAAUGACCCCGUAACUUCGGGAGAAGGGGUGCUCUAUUAGGGUGCAAGCCCGAGAGAGCCGCAGUGAAUAGGCCCAGGCGACUGUUUAGCAAAAACACAGGUCUCUGCAAAACCGUAAGGUGACGUAUAGGGGCUGACGCCUGCCCGGUGCUGGAAGGUUAAGAGGAGUGCUUAGCUUCGGCGAAGGUACGAAUUGAAGCCCCAGUAAACGGCGGCCGUAACUAUAACGGUCCUAAGGUAGCGAAAUUCCUUGUCGGGUAAGUUCCGACCCGCACGAAAGGCGCAACGAUCUGGGCACUGUCUCAACGAGAGACUCGGUGAAAUUAUAGUACCUGUGAAGAUGCAGGUUACCCGCGACAGGACGGAAAGACCCCGUGGAGCUUUACUGCAACCUGAUAUGGAAUGUUUGUACCGCUUGUACAGGAUAGGUAGGAGCCGAAGAGACGUGUGCGCUAGCAUACGAGGAGGCAAUGGUGGGAUACUACCCUGGCUGUAUGACCAUUCUAACCCGCCACGCUUAGCGCGUGGGGAGACAGUGUCAGGUGGGCAGUUUGACUGGGGCGGUCGCCUCCUAAAGAGUAACGGAGGCGCCCAAAGGUUCCCUCAGAAUGGAUGGAA